GUCGUAGUGUCACUCGCCUCCGAUGUUCAUCUACAUGUUAGAGUACCGCACGCACACACUUUAGCGUCCAGAACAAUUUUUGUAUUUUAUUAAUUGGAAGUUGAAUGGAGCUACUGACACGAGACCAUGGUCCUCUCGCCUAAACAUUCACUCUCAACUGAAAUGUUAAAGGCUUUUAUAUUCCAUUCAUUUGGCUUUUUUAUAUGAAACUUUAUCCAAUUAUAAAUACUUUAAGAUUCAAGAUAAAUAAAAUAUUAUUUUUUAGUAUUACCUUUUCAUUAUUUUAUAUUUUGCUCUACACAAUAUACUAUAUUUUAUUAAUAUUGUAUUUAUAUCUGCUUAUAUCUUUUUCAGCUUCCUAUGAUUAAAUAAUAUUAAACUGAAAUAUUGUGCUGUUUAUUUUGCAUAAUGUUGUAUCACUAUAAUGUAAAGCAAAUAUAUUAAAAAUUGUUCUGGAUGAGUUUCUACAUGAGAUCCAUAGUUAUGUUUUGUUAGUGCAUCCGCGUCACAGCCAGCCUCUAGUUAGAAUGUUUGAGCUCUGGAUGUUAGAAUGCUACUAUGUAUUACUGGGGAGCAAGGAAUCUAUGUAAGCAGGAGAGAGGUCAGCUACAUGUACAUAACCACUUCCACAAGUCACAAUGUGCCUUGUGCACACUAUGUCAGACUCGUUCUGGUAGUUAUACUACUAGUCUAGAAGCUAUGUUCUAUUAAGAAAUAUCCACUUGUAAAGCUGUUGAAAAAAAUCAAUCACAUGAUCAGUGACUUGUGGAUGAUAGAAUUGAAUGUGGCCUGCUUAGCAAGGCAGGUCGCACAGUGACCGUUGAGGCAGGAGAGCUGGCAGCCGUCGCUGUGCGGCCUGCCGGACAGCAGCCGGGCGGCGGCUGCGCUUUGCUUCGCUACGUGUUCAGCGACCGUUUGUCUAUUGCUUGGUCGCAAAUUGCUAUUAAUAGCGAUUUAACGCUCAGUUUCACUCUCUCUCUAUGCGCUGUCAUAGAUUCUAUGACAUAAAAUAUGCUGGCAGUUUUGGUGGCUUGAGCUAGUCAAUGUUGUGUGCUCUGGGAGGCAAGUCCCGCUCGCCGGAGGUGGUGCACUCGUUGUGUCACAAACACGUGAUGAGAUUCUGCUCACAGAGAAGACUUCUUUUGUCCAAGUUUUAACUUUUUUAGGAUUUAAACCAUUAACAAUUCUGUGAAGUUGAUCGUAUAGAUACACGUGGCUGCCUUAUUUGAUAGAAGUAGGAAUGAGGUGGCCGGCGUGGACACUCGCAGGGCUCGCUGCGCUGUGUGCCGACUCAUCGUGUUUUUUACGCAACUGUGACUACACUUGUUUGGCGAUGGACGCAUCUUACGUUCGUUUAAGGACUCCCUACUUUAGUAAAAAAAUGAAGUUAAUGGUACAUUUACGAUGGCAUAUAUUUGAUUACCUUCAUAGAAAUAUGUUUUAAACGAAUAAGGAAAGAGUUAUUUAGUAAUGGAAGAGUGCAGUCAUAGGCAACAGCACAGUUUAGACAAGUGACGAGUGAGGGGCAACCUGCUGUGAGCUGCGCUUUGUUCACGCGUGUGCUGAUGUCUUGCUCACCUGUGUAUGGAAACGUCUGACAGCCAGCCCCGGAUCUAGGGGGGGGCAAGCCGGGGCCCAUGCCCCGGGCGGCAAAUUCAGGGGGCGGCAAAAUCAGGCGGCUGCCUGAUUUUAAUUCCUAAUAAUACCAUAAUAGUUACCUACAGGGCCGUCUUAACCUAUGGUGCAGGGUGUGCGAAUAACCCGGGCGCCUCGGUCUUAGGGGCGCCCCACCACCAGGAAAUUUCGAUGAAAUUACACCCGUU
rnacentral:lncRNA from 1 species